rnacentral:rRNA from 1 species
UGGGGAAUAUUGGGAAAUGGGGGAAACCCUGACACAGCAACGCCGCGUGAGGGAAGAAGGUUUUCGGAUUGUAAACCUCUGUUCUUGGAGAAGAGGAGAAGACGGUAUCCAAGGAGGAAGCCCCGGCUAACUACGUGCCAGCAGCCGCGGUAAUACGUAGGGGGCGAGCGUUGUCCGGAAUGAUUGGGCGUAAAGGGCGUAUAGGCGGCCAGUCAAGUCAGUAGUGGAAGUCCAAUUUUCAAGGUUGGAAGUGCUAUUGAAACUGCAGGGCUUGAGUGCAGGAGAGGUUAUCGGAAUUCCCGGUGUAGCGGUGAAAUGCGUAGAGAUCGGGAGGAACACCAGUGUCGAAGGCGGGUAACUGGACUGCAACUGACGCUGAGGCGCGAAAGUGUGGGGAGCAAACAG